AUUGAACGCUGGCGGCAGGCCUAACACAUGCAAGUCGAGCGGUAGAGAGAAGCUUGCUUCUCUUGAGAGCGGCGGACGGGUGAGUAAUGCCUAGGAAUCUGCCUAGUGGUGGGGGAUAACGUUCGGAAACGGACGCUAAUACCGCAUACGUCCUACGGGAGAAAGCGGGGGAUCUUCGGACCUCGCGCCAUUAGAUGAGCCUAGGUCGGAUUAGCUAGUUGGUGAGGUAAUGGCUCACCAAGGCAACGAUCCGUAACUGGUCUGAGAGGAUGAUCAGUCACACUGGAACUGAGACACGGUCCAGACUCCUACGGGAGGCAGCAGUGGGGAAUUUUGGACAAUGGACGCAAGUCUGAUCCAGCCAUUCCGCGUGCAGGAUGAAGGCCCUCGGGUUGUAAACUGCUUUUGUACGGAACGAAAAGGUCUCUCUUAAUACGAGGGGCUCAUGACGGUACCGUAAGAAUAAGCACCGGCUAACUACGUGCCAGCAGCCGACGG
rnacentral:rRNA from 1 species